rnacentral:sRNA from 1 species
GGUGCGACCAUUACCCUUGUUUAUAGUGUCACAGAAGAACUUGUUGAUCUCGUGACGAGUAACCCUGUUCAUAAAUGCGUAUAUGAUGGGAUUGACAAUUCCCGUGCAGAACACGAGACAUAUAGCAAAGGAAUUGACUUCAGACGUGAAGGAGUUGUCUCUCAAAUGGCUUAUUAUAAUGGUUAAGUAAGGAACCCAACACAAAGCAUAAGCAAAAGCUAUCAGUAGAAUAGUUCUUACAGCUUUGCAUUCCACGUUUCGAUAUUGUACUUGCACACUCUGUGAGAGAUCACUGCUAUCCGAUGAGUUGCUGGGCGGAUCUCGUACUGUGGACGGCAUUGAGGGAUAGAUGCGACUGCGCCGCUUUGUUUGACCAAUGGCAGCUUUGAAGAUGCUCAGAUAGCACCAACUCUGCACUAAGAGUGGAACUAAGAAACAUAUCACAACAAUAAACAACAUAAAUUGGUUUCCACUUUUCCAAUUCAUUCCACAAAGAUACUGGUCAGGUAUGUACACGUAUGACCCCCAACCUACCAGAGGCGGAAGUGCAAUCAUCACACUUAACACCCAUGCCGAAGCAAUAAGGACAUGUCCCAGCUUUGGUGUGAAUACAUACGGGUAUCUGAGAGAGUUGAUGAUGGCGUAGUUUCGGUCUAUGGAGAUAAUCAUUAAGGAAAACUGAAUAGUGAUGAUGCAGAUUGUGAAGAAGUAUCCUUGCACCUUACAAAAGGUGUCGUCAAAUGCCCACUUUGUAGAGAACACAGAGGCCAAAACAAAUGGCACAACAAGAAUAGAUAAACCUGAAAAUGGAAAAACGUAACAUUAUCAAAUAAAACAAGACUGAUACCUUCCGAAAAGCAUUGAACAUUAGAAUUUUGUUAUAAUCGUUUACUUACAUAAUUGACAGCAAGACAAAUUGAGCACAAAACUGUUGGAAACGCUGAGUAGAUACGUCUUUUUGUAGAACACAAGACAAACAACACUGUUCAUAGCCAAGGAGAGCGCUAGAAUGACGCCGACUACCAGAGCCAUGAGAGCCAAUCCGACGUUCGGUUCACUGCCGCAGUCCAAAUUUGUUCCAUUGCAUUGGAGACUGGAGGACGACAAAAGUCGCCUUAGUAUUACGGACAUGUCUGAAUUUUCAUCACAUCUGAAAGACCAUCAAAUAAUUUAGUCAUAUAGAUUAUUUGUGAAAAUAUGUCUGGUGAUGAUACGGUAUUCUAUCGUCAAAUGCUAAAUAUGACGGUAAUUAAGUUUCACUAUCUACUAAUUAAUUAUUUUUCAGCUUUUACGCAAAAAUGAAGCAAACAAACAAUCUUAUUAAUGUAGAAAAUAUCAUUAAAUUCAAUGACAACUCGAAAUGGUAAAUAGGUGUUAUUUUGACGAAUUAUUGGUAUCAGAUUAUGCAAUAUUUUUUAAUCCUAGACUUGUUGUAAUAGUAUGUCCGUAAUUCAGUACAUUGUCAGUUCAUACUCGAAAUGCUUUGUAAUACUAGUAUCACUGCAAAUUUAAACACAUUUUAUUUUUUCUGAAAAUCAAUUAACAAGAAAAAGAUUACGUACAUGUUCUUUUUUCCCCUUAAUUUUGCAAAUUUAAAAAAAAAAACAACUCCUUGUUCGUGUGCAAUUAAAUCAUGACUAGAAACAA